UAAGGGCGCAUGGUGGAUGCCUUGGCACUGGGAGCCGAUGAAGGACGUGGGAGGCUGCGAUAUGCCUCGGGGAGCUGUCAACCGAGCGUGGAUCCGAGGAUGUCCGAAUGGGGAAACCCGGCACGAGGGAUGUCGUGUCACCCGGCACUGAAUACAUAGGUGUCGGGGGGGAACGCGGGGAAGUGAAACAUCUCAGUACCCGUAGGAAGAGAAAACAAAAGUGAUUCCGUGAGUAGUGGCGAGCGAAAGCGGAGG
rnacentral:rRNA from 1 species